rnacentral:rRNA from 1 species
UACAGAGGGUGCAAGCGUUGUUCGGAAUUAUUGGGCGUAAAGGGCGCGUAGGCGGUGCGGUAAGUCUGUAGUGAAAUCUCUGGGCUCAACUCAGAGUCUGCUGCAGAAACUGCCGUGCUUGAGUGUGGGAGAGGUGAGUGGAAUUCCCGGUGUAGCGGUGAAAUGCGUAGAUAUCAGGAGGAACACCUGUGGUGUAGACAGCUUACUGGACCACUUCUGACGCUGAGACACGAAAGCGUGGGUAGCAAACAGG